rnacentral:lncRNA from 1 species
CUGGCGCUACGCUUUGCGUGCUUUAAAACGCCUCGCGAAUUUCUUUCACGCCUCACGAAUUUCAUUUGAUCAUGUUCAGAUAUAUACUAGAAGAAUGUAAUGUAAUACUCUCUCUUACUCCAUAUCUUCCAAUAAAUAGAAGGUCUGUCUGACACUUCUCUCAACAGUUUGGGGUGCUCAGGCUUCUCCUCCCCAAUCCCUAGGUCAGACUUUUUGUUUUAUUUAUUUCCAUCUUAGAGGUACGUAGUUCUUGACCGUAAAGGAGAGGAUGGAAGACUUAGCAACUUAGCAAUUACGUAAGCUUUUGAAUUACAAGUAAUUCUAUGUUCUUUAAUUCAUUUCAUUUUCCUGACUUUUCUUACUCUACAAACAGCCUUUUAGAAGUCCAAACCUCAUGCAUUGCUAAUCGUUGUCCUUUGUAGGCACACGCGAGUACUUGGCAACUGAAAUUAUUGAAGGCGAGCGAAAGGACAUGGCAAUGCUGUGGAUUGGUGUGGACGUUCGGGAUAUUCUUAUACGAACUCUUGUUUGGUUGAACACCAUUC